UGGGGAAUCUUAGACAAUGGGGGAAACCCUGAUCUAGCCAUGCCGCGUGAUCGAUGAAGGCCUUAGGGUUGUAAAGAUCUUUCAGAUGGGAAGAUAAUGACGGUACCAUCAGAAGAAGCCCCGGCUAACUCCGUGCCAGCAGCCGCGGUAAUACGGAGGGGGCUAGCGUUAUUCGGAAUUACUGGGCGUAAAGCGCACGUAGGCGGAUCAGAAAGUCAGAGGUGAAAGCCCGGGGCUCAACCCCGGAACGGCCUUUGAAACUCCUGAUCUUGAGGUCGAGAGAGGUGAGUGGAAUUCCGAGUGUAGAGGUGAAAUUCGUAGAUAUUCGGAGGAACACCAGUGGCGAAGGCGGCUCACUGGCUCGAUACUGACGCUGAGGUGCGAAAGCGUGGGGAGCAAACAGG
rnacentral:rRNA from 1 species